rnacentral:rRNA from 1 species
GACGAACGCUGGCGGCGUGCCUAAUACAUGCAAGUUGAGCGAUGAAGAUUGGUGCUUGCACCAAUUUGAAGAGCAGCGAACGGGUGAGUAACGCGUGGGGAAUCUGCCUUUGAGCGGGGGACAACAUUUGGAAACGAAUGCUAAUACCGCAUAACAACUUUAAACAUAAGUUUUAAGUUUGAAAGAUGCAAUUGCAUCACUCAAAGAUGAUCCCGCGUUGUAUUAGCUAGUUGGUGAGGUAAAGGCUCACCAAGGCGAUGAUACAUAGCCGACCUGAGAGGGUGAUCGGCCACCUUGGGACUGAGACACGGCCCAAACUCCUACGGGAGGCAGCAGUAGGGAAUCUUCGGCAAUGGACGAAAGUCUGACCGAGCAACGCCGCGUGAGUGAAGAAGGUUUUCGGAUCGUAAAACUCUGUUGGUAGAGAAGAAAGUUGGUGAGAGUGGAAAGCUCAUCAAGUGACGGUAACUACCCAGAAAGGGACGGCUAACUACGUG